UCGGGAUAGCUCAGCUGGAGAGCAG
rnacentral:tRNA from 1 species